GCGUCCUUGGUGUAGCGGUAACACACAAUCUACUUCUGGCGAUCUCAGCGUUUCACUUGGAUUGGAUCCGGGGCUCGAGUCCCUGAGGGCACA